GAGACAUUGCAAGAGGUGGAUGGUCUCAUAAUAUAGUACUCUUAAAUCAGAGGGAUUUAGCUAAAAGACAAGUGAGUUUUUUAAUGCUAUAAAGUAUAUGCAAAGACCAAGCAGUGUACUGAUGUUAGUGGAGACUUUGUGCCUGUUUAUCCUCAGCAUGCUAAGACAAACUACAACCUCUUAAAAACCAAGCAUAAGAACCAGUAAUGUUUGGAAAGGUUUUCAGAAUUCAAGUAUGUCUUAUUUUGGAUGGUGUGUAGUUUUUGUCUAUUACUUCAUCUUGUAAGAACAUAUGAAGACAGCGCUCAUUCUGUGCCAGUGGGUGGCCUGCAACCUUGUUUAUGAAUUGCUCAAGAGCUUGCUUCCUUUCCUCUAUAAAGGAAUCAUCAAAUAUGCCAUCAUCUCCUCGGAAGGGGAGCUGACGAAGAAGAGCUUUUCCUGGUAAAGGUGGUACCACGACCUUGCUUUCUCUUUCUAGUUCAUUCCUUAGCCAUUCAAAGUCACUGUAUCUUCUUCUGACUGUAGAUUCUUUCAAUUUGAAGAUAGGGAGAUUGGUCUUGACGCGGAUCUCGUAGGUGGUGAAGCGGCCGCGGCCCACUCCCACGGUCUGCGGGUUGCCCACGUCGAUCUCUAGGAAGUUGCUGGGAGGCCCGUAGGCGUCGUUCAGGUUCUGCGGCUUGCUGAUCAGCCGCCGGGUGUCCGCGAUCGUCUCAGCCAUAGCGGAGCGGACGCCUUCCUCCCUCCCCCUCCGAUGACCGGCAGGACGCGACCAAGCUCCCUAACGCGGCCGCCCUCCGCCGCCCGCCCUCUUAUUGCCCCGCGGCCAGCUGACUGCCCGGCAACGCGCGCCCACGCCGCCGCCAGCGGAUGCGCCCGCCGCCCGCGCGCAAGGCAGGCUGGGAGCUGUAGUCCAUAUCCGUAGCACCUCUCGCUGCGCCCCGCGAGGCCGCCCGCCUUCCGAACUACAAGUCCCGGCGUGCGCGGGGAAUGCGUGGCGCCGCUCUUAGAGAGCUUGAGUCCUCGGGCCCGUCCGUGGCUAGGGGUUUUUAAACCAAAGGGAGGUUAGCGAUUACGGCAAAAAUAAUACUUUACUCUGAGCUGGAACUUCUUACCAGCGAAUCUAAGCACUGUGCGUAGGGAUGGGGAAUCCAAGGUGGCAAAUGGAGGACUACAGAGACACUUGACAAGGCAGUUUUCAUAAUUAAAAAAGCAAAAUGUCAGCAGCCAGCCUGGGUGGGCCAUACCAGGUGCCAGACAUGGGCCAGAGGGAUCCCAGCAAAGGCCCUGCCUUGAAAAUGGAGCCUGGAGGAUGGACAAGGCCACAAGGAAAGUGGCAGUGUUGUCUGCAGCAGCGUUAAGGCUUUUAGCAAUGGCAAAUCCUUUUUUUUUUCAGAUGAUAUGCACUUAGUAGCAGUAUAGCCAACUAGCUCAGAUUUGAUAGCUUACAGAGCUAAGAGUUUGUUAACAUUUCAUUGAUAAAGGAUAAGAAGGGAAAAUUGUGUUCCCAGAAAUUAAGUAAAUGGGAGGCUAGGACCUUGAAGAAAGGUAAACAGGGGAGAAAAGAAUGAGAGGGAGAAGUGUGGCCUUCUCUGCGAAGAUAUAAGGCCAUUGCUGCUUCUGUACCUGACUCAAAUACCCAGCUCAACCAUUGGCAAAAGAAGUGGAAAGCUUCACCAAGGACUUCAGGGAACGAGAUAACUGGUGCUGGGGAGCCAUAGAGAGCUGGGAAUCAGAUUCUCUGUACUGGAAGAUGAAGGGGAAGAUGCUUCAAAACUAGACCCUCCUUGCAUAUGCGAAAGGACAUAUGCCACGCUGGCUGGCUGAUGCUGCAGAGAGAAGGGAAUGAAGGUGGGGGAAAAUUAGAGUCCUUUGAGUCUGCUUGUUUCCUUCCAACCCUCGGAGAGUGUGUUUAUUCUGAAUUAUGGAUCAUAUUUUUUGUGAACCAUGGAACUCUGGAGUUACACUGUCUGUAGUUACACUACCUGCUUGCUGUGGUGGUUCAUCUGUCAGGAUGGAAAAGGUGAACCAUACAUUCAGAAAGAAUGUUUUAAUUAUAUUCCUGGUGUGAACUGUGGGCCAAAUUUCAAAUCUAGAGGGAGAGAGGUCAGCUGUGUUUGUAGGUCCAAAGAUUACGUGCAAGAAAUCAAGCAUUUAGACAAACAACCAAGAGAUCAGGAAUUCAUGGAUUUGUUGCCACACAGUUAUUUAUUCAGCUAAGAUUUUCUUGCAUAACUUCAAGUAGUGUUAUGAAUACUAGAGUUUCCUGGCAUGUACCCACAGAAGUAAGUAUUAAUGUGUGAUUAAUUCUUAAGUUUAGUAUAGCGAUACCUCUCAAGUAGUUAUUUGUUUUUAAAAGAAAAAAAAAAUUACAUUUAACUGGGUGGGAAACCAAAUCUUUCUAUUACCCGGGCCUUGUUCCCCAGCCUUGUGACAAGCUCCCAAGUUAAUACAUUUUAGUCACCACAGGCAUAUUUUGUCAAAACUUCUGGAGAAUGCUGACCCAGGAUAAGCCGAAGAAGAAAAACCGACGUAAGGCAUUGAACUAAUUGUGCAAUGCUUUAUGUGGAAAAGUGACUUCCUGAUGCCAGCGUUAGUAGGUGGUUCUUUCAAGCAUGGUGUUUAGCGAUCUACAUUUGGUUCUUCCAGAUAUAAAUAUUUUGCAUAUAAAUAUAACUUGUUUUAUCCACGUAUAUUAACUAUUGUAUUCAAUGCCACUUCUCUCUUUUUACCUAAUAUUUUUCAACACAGAUGAUGCUCAUAUAUACUUUUAGAUUUCUUAUUGCUUAAAAUGUCAUCUACCAGCUCAUAGGUAUUUACUUUGUGAACUCUUGUUCUAGAGAACCUAAGUAGUGCCCAUGUAGCUGGAAAGUUGUGCAAUGAGCUUCUAACGUAGGGAGCUUAGUGAGCUGACUGAAAUGCAAGCUGUAAACAGACGGAUGUGUAAAAAUAGCUCUAAGUCCAUAAGUUUGGGAACAUUUUUGCAGCUUCAAGAAUCUUAGAUUUGAUAAGCAACAUAAACUAUCCAUUGCAUAUUUGAUUAUUUCUGAAUAGGUAAAGCUAAAAUCAAGUUUACCUCAGAGUGUUCUGUCAUAACUCUAGGAAAAUGGCAUUUGAUGCAAACUUGUGUUAACAAAAACAAACCACAAAAUCCAUUUUUCUAGAGUAGGGUGAAUGACCGCUCUUACAUCAAAAGUACAUAUAUAUAUUGGAGCCAAAGAUGUUUCCCAUGAUGGAAACAUCCUGGAGCCUUGCAGGCAGGUAGACCCUGCCCUCCUUCUGAAGGAACUCAGAGGAGGUUUGGAAAAGAUGCAAAGAUCUUUGGGCACAAACAUCCCUGUGGGUUCAACACACUUGAUUUUCCAGAGGAGUGAAUUUUGUAACUCCAGAGGCUAGUGGGGGGCUUCAGAGGGAUUUUAUUAUGCCCCCUGUUUGUACUCCUAUUUAAGACCACCUAUUAUUUCAGUUAGCUUGCAAACUAAUAAUGCUGCUAAGUUAAGCAUCAAUCUAAUUCCAUCAUCUUUAUAACUUUAUUUUUCUGGAGGCAAGAAAAGAGAUAAAUACAGUGAAUGAAGUGUAUGGAUGUCCUACAGAAUGGAUCUGUAUCUGUUACAAGACAUUAACCAUGACAAACUACAGAUUAUCCAAUUCUUGUUAUUUUAGGUCAACAACAAAAUGUGACUUUGCCAAAUGCAGAUUCAGUUCCUGGGGUGUUCAAUACAGUGACACAUAUCACGGCAUUUCAGAAUUUGCUGUGUACAGAAGCACCGCAAAAAGUUUUUUCACUUAGGUAGAGAAUAACAGAAAAAACCCAAAUGGGAAGUUUUUCUAUACUGUCUUGGAUGACAAGGUUAAGCAGAGAAUCUGUUAACACACACACACACACACACACAAAAAAAAAAAACAGUGACAAUUUAAAUAAAUCAGAUGUUUUUGCUGAAGAUUAUGCUGUCAUUUUCUCCAAUUAUUCUUGACAUUUCACCCAAUUGUAUUGUGAUCUGAGUUAAUAAUGGAAGAAAAAGAACGGCUCUCGUUGCCUUGUUUAUUCUUUGUUCUCAAGGAGAUAAGCUGUUUAUAAGGAUAUUUGUUAUUUAAAUCACUUUUACUGAAGUUGUUUGUUUCCUUGUUUGAGAUUCUAAAAAUAUUGCAACAAUUGUGAUGCAUCUUUGAAACGCCUAUUCACUUCACUAUGAUUUGUACUGAAAUUCAUUCCUAAAUGGGCACAGGUGUUGAUAGCUAGAAUGAGUCAAAACCAAUAAGUGCUCAAUAAAGGGAAGAUGAAAGAAAAUGCACUGAGAACAGCUCUUUUAAGAUGUGAUAAACUGGCAUUUUAGUUCACCGCUUAAUUAGAUACGUAGCGUUGAAGAUGUGCCUGGUGCAACUGCGUAGUUUAAAACAGUUGAAGAUAGAAUUAUGGAAUCAUAGAAUCGUUAAGGUUGGAAAAGGCUAGUAAGAUCAUCUAGAUCAGCCCAUCCCCACCAUGCGCAGUAACCAUGUCUCUCAGUGCCGUGUGUUCCUUGGAUGCCUCUAGGGACAGUGGCUCCAACGUGCUAGAAAAUAACUUCAAGUACCAUUAAUAUUUUCAAGAUCAUAAAUCUUAUUUUUAAAAAAUCAGUAAUACGGUUCAGUAGAAUCUACUAUUGUAGAUUAUGUUUGCAAUCAGUUCUGCAGGGCCUUGAUGUGAUAGUUUGCUCCCUUCUUACAUAAGAAGCCC
rnacentral:lncRNA from 1 species